AUUGAACGCUGGCGGCAGGCCUAACACAUGCAAGUCGAGCGGAGGAAGGGAGCUUGCUCCUGGAUUCAGCGGCGGACGGGUGAGUAAUGCCUAGGAAUCUGCCUGGUAGUGGGGGAUAACGUCCGGAAACGGGCGCUAAUACCGCAUACGUCCUGAGGGAGAAAGUGAGGGAUCUUCGGACCUCACGCUAUCAGAUGAGACUAGGUCGGAUUAGCUAGUUGGUGGGGUAAAGGACUACCAAGGCGACGAUCCGUAACUGGUCUGAGAGGAUGAUCAGUCACACUGGAACUGAGACACGGUCCAGACUCCUACGGGAGGCAGCAGUGGGGAAUAUUGGACGAUGGGCGAAAGCCUGAUCCAGCCAUGCCGCGUGUGUGAAGAAGGUCUUCGGAUUGUAAAGCACUUUAAGUUGGGAAGAAGGGCAGUAAUUUAAUACCUUGCUGUUUUGACGUUACCAACAGAAUAAGCACCGGCUAACUUCGUG
rnacentral:rRNA from 1 species